GGCUCGGGGGCCCGGAAAGGAGAGGCCCCGGUCCCUCCCUGGGCGCGGUCCUGCGUGGCUCAGCACGCUCCGCUGCUGCUGAACGCCCAGGGGAAACUGAGGCGGCUCCCUGACGGGGCCCCGCGACCGGGGCCCCGCGGGGAUGGGGUGACCGCGCUGGCUAGGAAGGAUCCCUGGGCUUACAGGGGAGCCCAGACUGUGAUGGGAGCCCCAGAACGGCCGCGGGGCCGCGGGUCACGGCCUGCUCCUCCGCGCGAAGGGCCCCUCGAUGACCAGGACCGGAGGGGCCCCGGGGUCCCCUGCGCCCGGAGCCUUCCAGAGCUCCCGCCCCUCUCCCUGCCCGUGCCUGGGCCACAGUCUGUCAUGAAUUCUAAAGUCAGGCAGUGACCCCCGCUGGUGACUGGUUCCUCCCCCUGCCCCAUGGUGACCUUGGCCAGACUUUGCCUCUCAGAGCCUCAGUAUCCCCACCUGUAAACUCGGACUGCUGGUGGGCACUUCUCGUGUUGCAGGGAAGAAGCGGGGCGUGUCAGCACCUGCUGAGGACUUAGGGAGGUGAGAAUUGGUGUCCUGUUACGAUUGAGGAAACCAAGAGGUGGAGUAACUCCUCCAGCUAGGGCAACCAACCAUCCUGGUUUGCCUUGGACUGAGGGGUUUCCUGGGACACAGUACCUUCAUUGGGAAAACUGGGCGUCACGCUACCUCCAGGACACACACCUCACAAGAAAGAAGGAGAGUGGGGGAAGGACAGAGAAAAUCUUAAGCAGAUGCCAAGCCAAGCAUGGAGCCUGACAUGGGGCUUGAUCCCAUAACCCUCAGAUCACAGCCCUACCUGAAAUCGGGUUGGUCACCCCAAUUGACUGAACUACCCAGGCAUUCCCAUUCAUGUAUCUUCUUUGUGAAGUGUCUGUUCAGAUCUUUUGCCCAGUUUUGUAUUGUGUUGUUUGUUCUCUUAUAAUUGAGGGGUGUUUUGUUUUGUUUUCUAGAUGUAAUUGACCUAUAACAUAUUAGUUUCAGGUGUAUGACAUAAUGAUUUGAUAUUUGUGUAUAUUGCAAAAUGAUAUAAUUGAGUUUUGAAAGUUCUUUAUAGGUUCUGUAUAAAACACUUUUAUCAGAGGCAUAUAAUUUGCAAAUA